rnacentral:rRNA from 1 species
GACGUAGGGCGCGAGCGUUGUCCGGAAUUAUUGGGCGUAAAGAGCUCGUAGGCGGCCUGUUGCGUCCGCUGUGAAAGCCUGGGGCUUAACCCCGGGUCGGCAGUGGAUACGGGCAGGCUAGAGGUAGGUAGGGGAGAAUGGAAUUCCCGGUGUAGCGGUGAAAUGCGCAGAUAUCGGGAGGAACACCGGUGGCGAAGGCAGGUCUCUGGGCAUUAACUGACGCUGAGGAGCGAAAGCGUGGGGAGCGAACAGG